GUGGGGAAUAUUGGACAAUGGACCAAAAGUCUGAUCCAGCAAUUCUGUGUGCACGAUGAAGUUUUUCGGAAUGUAAAGUGCUUUCAGUUGGGAAGAAGUCAGUGACGGUACCAACAGAAGAAGCGACGGCUAAAUACGUGCCAGCAGCCGCGGUAAUACGUAUGUCGCAAGCGUUAUCCGGAUUUAUUGGGCGUAAAGCGCGUCUAGGCGGCUUAGUAAGUCUGAUGUGAAAAUGCGGGGCUCAACCCCGUAUUGCGUUGGAAACUGCUAAACUAGAGUACUGGAGAGGUAGGCGGAACUACAAGUGUAGAGGUGAAAUUCGUAGAUAUUUGUAGGAAUGCCGAUGGGGAAGCCAGCCUACUGGACAGAUACUGACGCUAAAGCGCGAAAGCGUGGGUAGCAAACAGG
rnacentral:rRNA from 1 species